UACGGAGGGGGCUAGCGUUGUUCGGGAUUACUGGGCGUAAAGGGCGCGUAGGCGGCGUCGUAAGUCAGGCGUGAAAGGCCCGGGCUCAACCCGGGAACUGCGCUUGAUACUGCGGCGCUCGAGUCCGGGAGAGGAUGGCGGAAUUCCCAGUGUAGAGGUGAAAUUCGUAGAUAUUGGGAAGAACACCGGUGGCGAAGGCUGCCAUCUGGACCGGUACUGACGCUAAUGCGCGAAAGCGGGGGGAGCAAACAGG
rnacentral:rRNA from 1 species